rnacentral:rRNA from 1 species
UACGUAGGGGGCAAGCGUUGUCCGGAUUUAUUGGGCGUAAAGCGCUCGCAGGUGGUCCGAUGCGUCGUGCGUGAAAGACCCCGGCUCAACUGGGGAGGGUCGUGCGAUACGGUCGGACUGGAGGCCAGUAGGGGGAUGCGGAAUUCCGGGUGUAGUGGUGGAAUGCGUAGAGAUCCGGAGGAACACCAGCGGCGAAGGCGGCAUCCUGGACCAAUACUGACGCUCAUGUGCGAAAGCGUGGGGAGCAAACAGG